rnacentral:rRNA from 1 species
GAUGAACGCUGGCGGCGUGCUUAACACAUGCAAGUCGAACGGAAAGGCCCAAGCUUGCUUGGGUACUCGAGUGGCGAACGGGUGAGUAACACGUGGGUGAUCUGCCCUGCACUUCGGGAUAAGCCUGGGAAACUGGGUCUAAUACCGGAUAGGACCACUUCUUGGAUGUUGUGGUGGAAAGUUUUUUCGGUGUGGGAUGAGCUCGCGGCCUAUCAGCUUGUUGGUGGGGUAAUGGCCUACCAAGGCGUCGACGGGUAGCCGGCCUGAGAGGGUGUACGGCCACAUUGGGACAGAGAUACGGCCCAGACUCCUACGGGAGGCAGCAGUGGGGAAUAUUGCACAAUGGGCGCAAGCCUGAUGCAGCGACGCCGCGUGGGGGAUGACGGCCUUCGGGUUGUAAACUCCUUUCGCUAGGGACGAAGCGUUUUUGUGACGGUACCUGGAGAAGAAGCACCGGCUAACUACGUG